rnacentral:rRNA from 1 species
GACAGAGGUGGCGAGCGUUGUUCGGAAUUACUGGGCUUAAAGGGCGAGUAGGCGGUGGAGCAAGUCUGAGGUGGAAUCUUAGGGCUUAACCCUAAAACUGCCUUAGAAACUGUUUUACUUGAGUCAGUGAGGGGAGGGCGGAAUUCCUGGUGUAGCGGUGAAAUGCGUAGAUAUCAGGAGGAAGGCCUGUGGCGAAGGCGGCCCUCUGGCACUGUACUGACGCUGAGGCGCGAAAGCGUGGGGAGCAAACAGG